ensembl:snoRNA small nucleolar RNA U3
AAGACUAUACUUUCAGGGAUCAUUUCUAUAGUUCGUUACUAGAGAAGUUUCUCUGACUGUGUAGAGCACUCGAAACCACGAGGAGGAGACGGAGCGUCCUCUCCUGAGCGUGAAGCCGGCUCUUAGUGCUGCUUCCCGCAGUUGCUAUUUGCCAUUGAUGAUCGUUCUCGGUUCUCCUGAGAGCCGAGAGGGAGAGGAUGCAGUCUGAGUGGUU